UAAAAAUAACAAACCAUAACAAACCACCGAGACCAUUUUAUUGAAGACAUCUCCUCUUCCUCCACUGUGCAGGUGUUUGGGAGAGUAUAAAUGCUAGCGCUCGACAUCUGGAUACCGAGUAGUAGGGGGGAGAACGAAGACUUCCACUCUCUCACAGCCUCUGUCUGAAAGCGUGGUCCACUACUGUGGAAACAAACGUCUGUGGCCUCAUUCAGUCAAAACCUUUUUUUUCAUUUUUCUUUGCUUUGUACACCUCUCAAAGUUUGUUGACAUUUUCUAAGAAAGCUACAGAUGAUAAAAGCGACUGAACUUUAGCUUUCAGGUUUUUUAAAAGACGGUUUAGACUUUGUUCCUUUGCGGGGGGAAGUGGUCUGUUGUCCGAGAUGGCGCUCGCGAGGGCCGUACCUGUCCCCGUCCGCAGCUCAUGGGCGCUGCUGGGGGCCGUCUUUCUGUCUCUGAACCUUAUCUGGACCAGCAGCAUGACACAGGCGGCCAUCUACCAUUACACAGGUGCGUGUAUCCAAACGGACAAGGUGUUCCUGCCGGGACAAACAUUCAUGAAGGGGUGCAACAAGUGCUACUGUCACGACACCGGCUUCGUCUGCUUCUCCCCAAAUAAACCAACCUCCUGGCCUGAGAAGUGCCAGCGGAUCCCGGCGGAGUGUGGAUACCGGGUCGUUUACCGAGAAAACCCGGAUGUAGAUUGCCGCGCCUACAGCUGGAUUGGGUAACGCGGCGGCUCCGCGUGCAUCCGAAGACAGAAAAACACCUGCACUUUAUUAUCUGACUGUCCCCGGAUGCUCGAUUGAUUGUUAGAGGCUCCCUCGCGCACAGCACGCAACAGUUGCGCGCACGCUGUGGUUUUGACGCGGGCUCAGGCGACCGUUCGAGUGUGUCCAAUAUCCGCGAGAACCGUUUAAGUCGAGUCGGGAAGCAUUACCUCCCCACUCUCCCCCUAAGUGUUCUCACUUGAUGACUGUCAACUCAGCAGGAAGACAAAUUGCUAAGCACCCUGACCCAGCUUCGGUAAUUCCGUAUUGUUCAAGCGUAGAAACUAAAUCUUUAACAGUUGCUUUUUUCAUAAUAUGAGUAACAACCUGCCAUCCACUUAUUGGGCAUAGCCUUCUCUUGCAGGUUUUCAAGGUAGUUAGACGGAGUUGAUUUAAAUGGUCCAGACAGCCAGGUUUCUUUCUGCUGAGCGUAGAUCACACACCCUCCAACCUAACAACCCCCUUCAACCCCUCCAACAAUGACAAACUCAUCAGUGGUGGGCCCACAUUGGACAAAACUGUUUUCUGGAAGUUUUACUUUUUUGUGUCUAAUUGAUUAGUUAUUUUGAUAAGAUUUUCCCCGCUGUUUUAACAGAUACUUCCAGUAAUUUUUGGCACUGCUCACAAUUUAUAUAAACCAAAUACUCUGUGAGCUUCAGUCAUCAUCUCUGUAGCAGAAUAACCAGAUCAAUAAAACAUGAAAUAUCAAAA